rnacentral:rRNA from 1 species
UUUGAUCAUGGCUCAGAGCGAACGCUGGCGGCAGGCUUAACACAUGCAAGUCGAACGAUAAGCUAGACUUCGGUCUAGUGGACAGUGGCAGACGGGUGAGUAACGCGUGGGAAUCUACCUUUGAGUGGGGAAUAACAAUUAGAAAUGAUUGCUAAUACCGCAUAUACCCUUCGGGGGAAAGGCUUCGGCCGCUCUUAGAUGAGCCCGCGUACGAUUAGUUUGUUGGUGAGGUAAAGGCUCACCAAGACUACGAUCGUUAGCUGGUUUGAGAGGAUGAUCAGCCACACUGGGACUGAGACACGGCCCAGACUCCUACGGGAGGCAGCAGUGGGGAAUAUUGGACAAUGGGCGAAAGCCUGAUCCAGCCAUGCCGCGUGAGUGAAGAAGGCCUUAGGGUUGUAAAACUCUUUCGACAGGGAAGAUAAUGACGGUACCUGUAGAAGAAGCUCCGGCUAACUCCGUGCCAGCAGCCGC